GUAGGGGGCGAGCGUUGUCCGGAUUUAUUGGGCGUAAAGAGCUCGUAGGCGGUUCGAUAAGUCGGACGUGAAAUCUCCACGCUCAACGUGGAGGGGCCGUUCGAUACUGUCGUGACUCGAGUCCGGUAGGGGAGUGUGGAAUUCCCGGUGUAGCGGUGAAAUGCGCAGAGAUCGGGAGGAACACCCGUAGCGAAGGCGGCACUCUGGGCCGGUACUGACGCUGAGGAGCGAAAGCGUGGGGAGCAAACAGGAUUAGAUACCCUGGUAGUCCACGCCGUAAACGUUGGGCACUAGGUGUGGGACUCUAUCGACGGGUUCCGUGCCGUAGCUAACGCAUUAAGUGCCCCGCCUGGGGAGUACGGCCGCAAGGCUA
rnacentral:rRNA from 1 species